rnacentral:lncRNA from 1 species
CACGUCUGGGGAAGGCCUGAGGAUGGUCUGUGUCACGUUUGGGAAGACAACCUCAGGGGUUACCUCCACGGCCACCAACUCCAGAGGGCUGUCUGCUCUACACCUCUGCUCAGUCCACUUCUGGCAGGAGCGGAGGACUUCCGUGCCAUACAGAAAGUCUCACUGGAAUUGUGUCUGUUGAAGAACCCCACAUCCUAGCACAGAUUUGGAAGGCUGGAUUCCUUGCUGGCAGCAGUAGGCUCAUCAGAACAGGAGGUCCAGGCUGCCUCUCAAAAUCCAGAGUCAAAAGGAGCAGAGGCAGGUAAGACUUAGACAAAUAGGCCUCAUAAGACCAAGAGGAUUCGAGAACCUCUGCACUCUGAGGAGGGUCACCAUUCCUUGACCUAACAAACCAAGGGCUGCUGGUUACCCCCAGGCUUGUUGCAGGAUCUGAAGGAGCCCGUCUUCAAAUCGCACUAACCUGGGCUCAGGAGGGAGAGCAAAGGACGGAGUACUGAAAUAACUUAUCUGU